GUGUCAGCAGCCGCGGUAAGACGUAGGAGGCGAGCGUUAUCCGGAUUCACUGGGCGUAAAGCGCAUGUAGGCGGCUCGGCAAGUCGUGUGUGUAAGCCCCUGGCUCAACUGGGGGAGGUCAUGCGAGACUGGCGGGCUUGAGGACAGCAGAGGAGCGUGGAACUCCCGGUGUAGCGGUGGAAUGCGUAGAGAUCGGGAAGAACACCAGUGGCGAAGGCGGCGCUCUGGGCUGUGUCUGACGCUGAGAUGCGAAAGUGUGGGGAGCAAACGGGAUUAGAUACCCCGGUAGUCC
rnacentral:rRNA from 1 species